GACCUGAGCCGAAGGCAGACGCUUAACGACUGAGCCACCCAGGCGCCCCAAGGAGCAUAAUGAACUCUUAAUGGGGGCAACAGGGUGAAGAUGGGCAAAGCAAGAUAUAGCCGCAAGAGCAAGAGGAUUUGCUGAGGCUGAAUCAUUCUUCCUGGUGAUUAUUUUUAUUCUGAAAAGCAGAGGCCAGAGGUCUUCUCAGGGGUAGAGUUUCUUUUUACUUUUUCCAUUCCAACUUAUGCCAAACUACAUUGGUCAGGUCAAAUAACCUCCCGGGACUCUCAGUGGGGCCAGGGUCGUCUAUAACGCAGCCCAUUAAUCCACUAACAGGUCCCAUUAAUGACUCCUGUGGGCAAAAGGGCCUGUGGGCCCCAUUGUGUGGGCGUGGGUUUCCCCUGGAUCAUUGAGCCCCGUGCCCAAGAAGUGGGGUCUUCGGAUUAAUCCCAGCUCUAGUGCUGACAGCAGAGAUGGAGCAGCAUCUAGAAGCAGACAUGCCCGGCUUCUGGAAUGUUAGCUUUGCCACUUACUCUCUGUGCAAUCUCAACAAUUUACAAAACCUUAAAAGCUAUAGUCAUACCAUCUCCUGGGGCAUUUUUCACAGUCUUAAGAUUGUCGCCAUUUGCAUGAUGGGAAGAACUUGCCACUUGUCCACUUUCCAACGCCAUUCAUUUGGGAAUGCCAUUCAUUUGUUCGUUGUCUUCAUUCAUUCAUUCCAUGUGUAUAUUCACUGUCUACCAUGUGCCGGGGCUGGCCGGUGUCAGAGACGAUGAGAAAGACUCAGACCUAGCCUGGUCAGACAGGGGAGACAGGCACGCGAAGAAGGGACCGGAACCAAGCACACUAAGCACAGCAAUAAGAGAAAUGGAGGUGCUGGUGAAGCACAGGGCCAUGGCCUGACACCCAGAUUUGGGUCAGGAAAGACUUCCAGAGUGACAGAGAAGCUGAGAACCAAAGGAGGGGGAGGAUUUAGCCAGACAAAGAGAAGGCGUAAGGAGAGGCGACACGGGGAAGUGUGCGGCAUCACAGACAGGGAGGGGAGGCAGACCUUCUUGCCACGCCACAGUUCCUCAUCCUUCAAAGAGAGAAGAUCACCGACCUGGCCGGGUUCUUCUGAGGAUGAGGGGGGGGUGACACAUGGCAAGCACUUAGCUCAGUCACUGACGCAUAGAUGAGGCCAAAACAGCCAGUUAUCCCAAAUGGCUGUCAGCAAGGUCAUAGCAGUAAUAAGAGCAGCUAACAAUUACUGCGCAUUUGCCAUUUGUCAGGCCCUGUGCUCCCUGCUUGUGGAGAUGGUUGUGCUUACUCCUCCCGACAAUCCUAUGAGGCAGGCGCCAGUACUAUGCCUACUUUAGAUAGAAGAAAGCGGACAAGAAGGAGUUGUGUUCUUCGUCCAAGACCACACCGCCGGAGCCAGGAUUCCGUCCCAGCCUGUCUGUCCCGACAGCAACAGACCACCUGCUUCACGGGGCAGAGAUGACACAGAGCUGGGGGGACUUUAUCGAAAGGCACCACCUACCUCCUCACCCAGAGGAUGGCUUUGAGAACCUGGCGGAAAGCCAAGGCUGACAUCAGGGCUCUCUGGACCUUUCUCUCUGUGAUAGCAGUUAGCUGAUCUCGCUAAUGGAUUAUAGUUCUCGGCUUUAGAUGUGACACCCUCCUCUCUGUGGGCUGCAGGAAAAGUCCAGAGUGUGUUGACAUAUGCUCCCUCACCGAGGCAAGCCACGUAGUUGUUUUAUAAAAGAGGAUUUGCUGCAGAGAUGUUUCUGAGGCCUCUGCCCAGGGAGCUGGCACACGUUUAUAAUUCUAAAGAACCUCCAAACCGCAAGUCUGGGAUUGAGAUUCCUUCACCCGGUGGAGGAGAGGAAGUUCAAGAGAAAAGAAUUUGACUUUGUUCCUUGCCCCCUGUCAAGAACGGGGGAUGCCUAGAGCACACAUGUGCCUCUGGUCGUUCCAUUUGGAACCGCUUCGCUGGGCUCACUGCAUUCCUGCCACAAGUUGUCAAGACAAGGGAAGCCCAGCCGCUGUCAGUCUCUGGCCUCCUUGGAUGGAUGGCCCACCUGUGGUCCUUCGCCCUGGUCUUCCCUGAAUUCCAAUAUCCAUUUCCUGUUCUAAACAGAGCACCUCGCUGCUAACAAGAGCUAUAUAAGCUCGCUCAAGUUAAGGUGGGUAACAAUGCCACAAACUCGCUUAUGGGCACGGGAACUGAAGUGCAGCUGGGUAUGAGCACUAGAGCUGGGAAGCCGCCGAAGCCAUGGUAGGUCGCAAUGUCCCUCAUUCUGUCUCAUGCUUCAUCUCUUCCUCGGCCACAGCUGGAUUUCUCUGCUUACGCAUCGCCCAACGGAUCUCCCAGACCCAAUCUAAAUGGCCUCACAAUUCUAGUGGCCACCACCCACGGACCACCAACUCUCUCGCUGAGAGUUCUAGCACGGAAUAAGAGGAUGACGAGACGAUUCCAUUCCAGAAAGAGGUUGGAGGAGAGCGAGAGAAAGAAAGAGAAUUAUUAAGUCAUUCUCACCUGCCUGUUGGUGCCCACCGUGGUGUACUCAGCUGUGGCUGGUGACCAGGGCCAUGGGGACUGUAAGCUGUCCUUGCCAGGGGCUGGGAGGGGGCUUAUUCCAGAAAGGGACAUUGAAUAUUGGCUUUCUUACCUGACAUGGUGAGGCAUUGGUUCUAUUGAUUGCUAUGUGCCUGUAGGUGAGGUUAAGAGAUACCUCUCUCUUCUCCUACCCCCUUGGCCCCCUCCUCUCUUAUUCACCUGCCAGAACUCCCAGUCUGGAGAAUCCUCAUCCCCUGGGCACCACUGGGGCCAGGCCAGCCACUGCUGGAUCUGCAGGGGCCAGAGAGGACCUUCCCAGAGGACACGUCAGGCCUGAAAGCAGCUAACAUGUUACCCACUUCCCCCAACCUUCCAGAGCAGAGACUUCUAUCCAGGGACCAUUGAAAGCCCUUGUGCCACCCCUGUGGGAAUGGAGGGGGUGCAAACCCUAGCACCAUUUUCUGUGUGUUCGUGCCCGUGUAUCUUUUAUUCCUACCUAGACUGUCUUGGCUUAUUCUUUAACAUGAGAAUGCUUCUCCUUCACAGGAGGCUGGGUUUCCCUCAACACCUUUAUACCUGGCAAAAGCUGGUGCUUGCUGCUUUCCAUAGUAUUCAAGGGGCCUCGGGUUGAUUACGGAAAUGGAGCCUGUCUCCGUGGAAUGCUGGCUUCUCCUGAUUUAAUGCAUUUGUUUCUCUGCUCCUUUCUCUCUGGUGUGGCCGCCCCUCCUCGGGUGUUCAGCUGCAGAACUCUCUGAAGACUGAUUUGUGUCUCGAUCAGGGUCCAGACACAGAGAACGUUCCCAUUGUGUACAUCUGCCACGGGAUGACACCCCAGGAAACAUGCCCUGAGUGUUACUUUAUGCCAAGAAUUGGGAGAGGCAAAGGCAUCUUUGCCCAGGCCCCGGACCUGGAGGAGUCCCAGUCUGGAGGAGGAGCCAGGCGCUUAGAUCAUGGCAAUUCAUAUGAUACAACCCUACUGCCCCCAACCAGCUUCUCGGGAGCCCAGCAGGAUGGACAGUGCGAGGCAGGGUCUGGGGGUUUCUCCCAUUCUCCCUGCCUGCAUCUUCCCGACUACAGAAGGCACAGGGGAAAACAGUACGUUUCCUAUGGGAAGGUAAAUUCAUGAUUGUGGAAGAAAGAAGAUGCAAGGAUCUUUAAUUCCCUCUAAAGUUUUAGAAGUACUUAAGCCACCAUGUUGUGCUUCAGGAAGUGCAUUUUGACUCUAAGUAUGAAGAUCAGAGUUGAGCUGAAAGAAGUAUUCUAUUUUUAUGCAGAGACAAAUGCCAUGGUAGAUCAGGUCGUAUGUGUAAUAAAAGUAAGAAAAAUA